UCGAGCGGUAAGGCCCUUUCGGGGGUACACGAGCGGCGAACGGGUGAGUAACACGUGGGUGAUCUGCCCUGCACUUCGGGAUAAGCCUGGGAAACUGGGUCUAAUACCGGAUAUGACCAAAGGCUGCAUGGCUUUUGGUGGAAAGGUUUACUGGUGCAGGAUGGGCCCGCGGCCUAUCAGCUUGUUGGUGGGGUAAUGGCCUACCAAGGCGACGACGGGUAGCCGACCUGAGAGGGUGACCGGCCACACUGGGACUGAGACACGGCCCAGACUCCUACGGGAGGCAGCAGUGGGGAAUAUUGCACAAUGGGCGAAAGCCUGAUGCAGCGACGCCGCGUGAGGGAUGACGGCCUUCGGGUUGUAAACCUCUUUCAGCAGGGACGAAGCGAAAGUGACGGUACCUGCAGAAGAAGCACCGGCCAACUACGUGCCAGCAGCCGCGGUAAUACGUAGGGUGCGAGCGUUGUCCGGAAUUACUGGGCGUAAAGAGCUCGUAGGCGGUUUGUCGCGUCGUCUGUGAAAACCAGCAGCUCAACUGCUGGCUUGCAGGCGAUACGGGCAGACUUGAGUACUGCAGGGGAGACUGGAAUUCCUGGUGUAGCGGUGAAAUGCGCAGAUAUCAGGAGGAACACCGGUGGCGAAGGCGGGUCUCUGGGCAGUAACUGACGCUGAGGAGCGAAAGCGUGGGUAGCGAACAGGAUUAGAUACCCUGGUAGUCCACGCCGUAAACGGUGGGCGCUAGGUGUGGGUUUCCUUC
rnacentral:rRNA from 1 species